UACGGAGGGGGCAAGCGCUGUUCGGAAUUACUGGGCGUAAAGGGCGCGUAGGCGGACCUUCAAGUCAGGGGUGAAAGGCCUGGGCUCAACCUGGGAACCGCCUUUGAAACUGGAGGUCUUGAGUCCGGGAGAGGAUGGCGGAAUUCCCAGUGUAGAGGUGAAAUUCGUAGAUAUUGGGAAGAACACCGGUGGCGGAGGCGGCCAUCUGGUCCGGCCCUGACGCUGAGGCGCGAAAGCGUGGGGAGCAUGCCGG
rnacentral:rRNA from 1 species